rnacentral:rRNA from 2 species
UGUCUAAGUAUAAAUAACUUUAUAUUGUGAAACUGCGAAUGGCUCAUUAAAUCAGUUAUGAUCUACGUGACAAAUUCUUUACUACUUGGAUAACCGUGGUAAUUCUAGAGCUAAUACAUGCAAAAAAGCCCUGACUUACGAAGGGGUGCACUUAUUAGAUAAAACCAACGCGGGGUAAAACCUGUUUCUUGGUGAAUCAUAAUAAUUAAGCGGAUCGCAUGGCCUUGUGCCGGCGACGGUCCACUCGAUUUUCUGCCCUAUCAUGGUUGAGAUUGUAAGAUAGAGGCUUACAAUGCCUACAACGGGUAACGGGGAAUUAGGGUUCGAUUCCGGAGAGGGAGCCUGAGAAACGGCUACCACAUCCAAGGAAGGCAGCAGGCGCGCAAAUUACCCAAUCCCGACACGGGGAGGUAGUGACAAUACAUAACAAUGCAGGGCCUUUAAGGUCUUGCAAUUGGAAUGAGUACAAUUUAAAUCCCUUAACGAGGAUCAAUUGGAGGGCAAGUCUGGUGCCAGCAGCCGCGGUAAUUCCAGCUCCAAUAGCGUAUAUUAAAGUUGUUGCAGUUAAAACGUCCGUAGUCAAACUUUAGUCUUACCGGCGUAGUGGCCUGGUCUUCAUUGACCAAGCUCAUUGCUGCCGGAGACUCCAUGUCCAUUGACUCCUAGUCCUCGUGGCUAGGGUUUUCUGGACAAUUACCAUGAGCAAAUCAGAGUGUUUAAAG